GCUUAAUUGGACUCACCACGGGAAACCUCACCCAGCCAGACACUGACAAGACUGACAGAUUGAUAGCUCUUUCUUGAUUCUGUGGGUGGUGGUGCAUGGCCGUUCUUAGUUGGUGGAGUGAUCUGUCUGGUUAAUCCUGAUAACGAACGGGACUUUUGGCAUGCUAACUAGUUACGCCACUCCCGAGCAGUCGGUGUCCCCUAACUUCUUAGCAAAUUAUUUUCUUAAAAGUCUAGUCAAAGUAAAAGCCCAUAAAGUAGUACAUACCCUCGCUCUAUGUGAGAUGC
rnacentral:ncRNA from 1 species